ACAUUAGGUACAAGAAUGCUAUGCAAACCAAUUUCAGUACACCAGCAACUCACCAUUUUCUCCCUUCUUUCCCUCACUAAUUACAUGAAGUUUCUUUGAUUUAUCCGGGCCUUUGAGGUCUGGUCUGGAAAUGUCUGUCUGUCUUGUGAGAUUUCUGAUAUUUUCUCUUCCAGCCAAGCAUAAGAACAGCUUCUCUCUUUGUAUUUUGGCAUCUCCACUUCCAGUCCCAGCUGGAACUAGGAAAUCGGCUAUCAAAUAAAAAUGAACAAUAAUGAGGACAAGGAAGAAUUUAAAAAAAAAAAAAAGUAAGCAGACUUGGAGAAGGUUCAUGGUUUGUGUUGUCUCUGUCUUCUUUUUCUGAGCUGGGUCCUGAUGUUGCCAACAACACCCCUGUGAGUAAUUCCAUUGAUUUCAGAGUUACUUGCAUGCAUAGGUGACCAGAGGGUAUGGCUGAUAGUUUGCAGUUCCUGUUUAAAAGGAAAUACAAUAAUGAAUUUAUCUUGUUCUGAAUGCAGCUGGGUUGGGGAAGGAGUAUGAACAGCAAUUUGGCUGUCAACGGGCAUCUGUAUUGAUGUGUGCAAGUGAAAUACUGCAAGACAGAGGAGAUCCAAGGGGGGAAUAACUGCAAAGCAACAAGCAGCUGUGGAUGAUGAGUCAUCAUUUUCUAACCAAACUUCAGAGAGCAUCAUGUCUUUGGAUCUAGACUGCUGAAAUGAGAAGAAGUAUAAAUCUAGGUUUCCAGGGUUCCUAGGAUUGCUGUGAGGCUUGAGGCAGUGGGAAGCUUCAGAAUGGUGCAGAUUUCUCUACCUUGUUCCCAAAUAAGGUUCAUUGCUGGACUAUGCUUUUGUCUUGAAAAUCCAGGGACCAGGGGGGUCUUCAGACCAAGUUCUACAGCUC